UCUUGGUGCCGGCCCAAAGCCGGAAAAUCGGGAACGCGGUGGAAAUCCGCGACGUGCCCAACGCUGUAAGGUGGAUGAGGCGGCACAUGCCACUGGCUCUGGCCGGGAAGGCGCCGCUUCAGAGGAAGCCAAGUCAGAAGACCGGCCAGGAGAA
rnacentral:ncRNA from 1 species